UAUAUGUAGCCUAAACAUACCUCCACAAUAUGCUGAAAUUAAACAAAUAAAUAAAAAGCAUAACAAAAAAGUAUACUCUAAUGCUAUAAAGUGUGAUAAGAUUAUUAAGACAGUGCCAAACAACCAAUGUAUCAAUAGGUUUCAUAGAGAUUAUUUUACAGUGUAACAGGUAUUCAGUUACCUUACUCAUGAAUGUUUCUGAAAAAUGACAUUUGCAAAUUAGAGAGCUUGUGGGCAUAAGGAACAUAUUUAAAAGAAUAAACAUUUUACCAUAGCAGCCUUAUGUUUAAGAUAUACAGCUUGCUUUCUGAAGUGCGAUGCAAAGUAUAAAAAGAAAUUUGACAUUUGUUUUUCAGUUUUGUAUUUGACUCUCUAAAUAAUUAGAAAGCUGAGAAUCAAACAGUAGCCAUUAUUUUAAGUCCCUGAAAAUCAAUAUCCAGGAGUUUUGGGAGUUUGGCUGAAAUAAUUUGUGGGGAUUUUUUUUAUUAUUAAAUAAAACAUUUGAAUGACUAUUAAAAAUGGAUCACUGUGGCAAACUUUGGAGAUUACAAAAGCUUUGGAGACAGAGUCUGUGUCCUGAGUAUUUUAUAAUCUCUAGGAAGGUAGAAAACAUUUAUAAUUAAAAGUUUAUAAUAAGCAACUUUAUAAGUAAUGAAAGCUAUAUGAUUUUUUUCAAAGGCCCAGGCAAAAUUAACAAUUACCUCUUGCUAUAUAGAUAAUGAAGGCAUGAAUUAGAAAUGAUAGGAUCAUAAAAAGUGAUGAUGAAAGUUGGUCACUGGAAAAUUAUAUUCUGAGACAUAAAGUCCUAUUAAUAGGUCAUAGUGAAUUCUUGUCAUUCUAUUUCCUGGGGCUUAGGCAGAACUCCUAAAGCCAUCUACUAGGCACUUGAACAGACCCUGUCUUGCAGCUGGCAUGAGUUGGGCCAGAUGACUUUAUCAUCUUCUGUCUGAGACUGACACAAUAUAUGUACCAGAUACUUAUCUUCACAGUUUCAAAAUUCCUGGAAAUAAAGUUAGAAUAUAGUUAACCAACUUGGAAAAAACAUUUGUUUCUUCGCCUCCUCAAUUUUUGAACAUUCUUUUCAGUAAAGAGUGGAGAAAUCAAAAUUUCAUUUGUGGAAAAACAAUGACGGAGAGAAUGAAGCAGCUUAGCACUCUGGGUUCUUCCUCUGGGAAAUUUAAAAUAACUCCAAAGUACCUCUUUCAGUUUACUUUGCUCUAGUUUUCUCAUUUAUUCCUUGUGCCCUCCUCUUCUUAACUAUUCCAAUCAACCAGGAAGACAGUUAAGGUGAGGGAGAAGAAAAUGUUUACCCUAGUGAGAGCAAAAACACUGGUCCCAGGUAUCUUCAAACACUAAAAAUUAGCAAUAAGAAACAAUAUCAUAAUAUUUUAUAUCAAAUAAUCUGUUGUUCUUUCUCAUCAAACACUUGGAUAUUAGGCAUAAGGAAGUUAAAUGCUGCUUUUACAUUUCAAAUUUAUUAUUUAACACAUUGACAGAAAACAUAUUUGCAUCUAAAUUAAAUUGAGGACAAUUAAGGAAUAGUAAUUCCAAAUAUCUUUCAAUAAUGUCUAAUUUUUAGUUGUUAAGGAAGAACAGACAUUGUUAAAUGCGCUUUGAAGUGCUUUAGUAUAUAGUUAUAUUUGCAUGUAUGUGAUUUACAAAGUUAUAAUUUUAAUAAUUGUAUCAUAGUCAAUAUGUAUUGCCUAAAUAAAUUUAAUAUUAAAAAACUCAUUUGUUACCUUCUUAAAAUAAUCACUUUGUUUGUAAAUGAUAUUGUCAACAUGAGAGAUAGUUCCAGGUUCAUAGUUCCAGAUUCAUUUAGAAAUGUCAGAACUAACAUUUGCAAUAAUCCAAUUAUAUUAAUUUAGAGAAUUUUGCUAAAGAGAGAAAUAACUUUGACCAUUUAAUAUGUACGUAUGUUACUGAAACAGCAAGCAUUUUAAGAGGCAAUUUCCUAAAUAAACUUUUCUUCAAAGUGUGUUGCUUAUAGCUGACUUUAAAGAAAGUAAAUAGUAUUGUAUAUAAUUAUAACAUACUUUCACAUAAAGUUUUGAUAGUAUUACUGUAAACCAAUAAUUAUAAGAUAUUUAUAGUUGUUUUUAAUAUGAAUAAAGAUAUUAUAUUAAACCACAUAUUCUUAAGCAUUUCCCUUUGGCAUUACUGUGUUCUAUUCUUUCAGAAAUUUUCUUAUUUUAGUAAGAUUUCAAUUAUUUGGAUUGCUACAUACUUUGGGAUAGUGACUGAGGUUUAUGUUUUUCUCUCAUUUAACAUUUUUUUAAUUGCAUAAAUUGAAGGUGUACAAUAUGAUGCUCUGAUAGACAUAUACGUAGUGAAGUGAUUACUAUAAUCAAGCAAAUUAACAUAUCCAUCUUACAUAGUUUUAUUAGAGAUGUAUUUAUUUAUAAAGUGCUAGAAAGUCCAAGGAUUGUUGUAAAAUGUACCUUACAUUCUUAUUAUAAUAAUGAGACUACCUGGGUAUGCCACUUGAUUGCUUUCAAGAAAUAGAGUGUUAUAUUAAGGUUGUUUCAGAACUUGAAUAUACCACUUCAAACAGAGAAUAAUAUAGAAUUUACCAUAUAGUUUUUAACUUUCAACAUCUUUGCAGCUUAACUUUGCAACAUAAAUCAAAGGCUUAGUCUUCAUCAAACUUGGCAUAAGGUAAUUUACCUGCUAGUGCUAGAUGAUUAUGUUAUCUAUAACUAACCCAUGAGAUAUCUAUAUCCAUUUCUCAGAUUACAAUCUAUAUCUGAGAUGAUAGUCUGUGAUAAAGCAUGUUCUUUAAUAGAUUAUCAGUUUACUUAGUACAUAGGCCAAGAAGAGCUCAUACAUGGAUGCGUGUUGGUAUUUAGUAAUAGUGUUGGACAUUACUGGAACUGGUGUGGUAGAAAUGAGUGUAUAAGAAAUAGAAACUUUAUAGGCCAUGCUUCUCAUAUGUUAAUAUGCAUGUUAAUAUCUCGUAUGUUAAUAUCUUCCUGACAGAUAAUGAUUCAGUAGGUCUGGAGUGGAAGGGAUAAUGUAACAUUUCUAAGAAGGUGCCACAGAAUGCUAACACUGAGGCUGACCUAUGGACCACACAUAGAGUAGCAAGAUUUUAAACUCAGAAUCUAAAAAGAAAGAUGCCAUAACAAAUUUACCACUUAUUUUAAAAUAAAGAAGCAUAAUUUUAAAAAAUGAAAAGUUAUAAUCAUAAUACCACAUUAUUAAACAUUUUGGGUAUAAAUAGAAUGAUAGUAUAGUCUAUAACAUGGUUAGGGAGAAAUAAACAUGCACAACAAUGUAGAUACUCCAUUAACUAGUAGGCUAUUCUUAGAAAAUCUGUAUAAUCUCUUUAAGCAUUAGUUUCUGCAGUUAUAACAUUAGAGAAUUGAACUACUAGAUUGUCUCUAAAAUGCAUUCCAGUUUUAAAAAUCUAUGAUUCUGAUCUCCUAGGCUUUCAAGUCUUAGAACAUAUUGAACAAGAGCCUCUUCUAAACCUCAGUCUUGCUUUUAUAUAUAAGUAGAGCUUUGGAAUAGAGUUUCAAGGUUAAUUCUAAAGUUUAAAUACUAUUAUGCAUGUAAAGUACUUAGUAAAUUGCCUUACAAGUGCUCAAUUAAUGGUGGUUAUUGGCAUUAUAUAAUACUAUUAAGGGAAAUUCAAUCUUAGUAACUGAGGUAACUUGUUCUAGAACAUACGGCUUCCUAGACAUAUGCUAAAUAGCUGUAAUAAUAAAAUAGCUAUGGAGUUAACAAUAUAUUAGAAAUAUUCCUUUAAAUAAACAGCUAUUAUAAUGAAAUAUAAAUACAAAAGAAGAAACAAUGCUUGCCUCUCUAUGUUAAAACUAGUAAAAUUUCCCCAAAGUCAACCUAAUCUCAAUUAUGAAAAUACUCUUUCUUCAUAUUUGAUAAAAAUGUGUUUAUAUUCCUUUUUUAUUCUAAUAUCAUUUUGAAAAUAUUAGGCUUACUGAUAUUCAGAUAUCUCCAAGUUAAAUAGUCUGAUGCCAUGCUUGUAAAAUACAUAUUCAUUUACUAACAUAAAAUUAAAACGGCCACAUUUGCUAUAUCGGUUCUGCAGCAGAUUGAGUUGGAUCUAAAGCCACCCAGGCCUUGGUCCUAGCAUCCACUCGAGAAUUGGCUCAGCAGAUACAGAAGGUGGUCAUGGCAUUAGGAGACUGCAUGAGUGCCUCCUGUCAUACCUGUAUUGGGGGCACCAACGUGCGUGCUGAGGUGCAGAAACUGCAGAUAGAAGCACCCCAUAUCAUCGUGGGUGCCCCUGGAUGAAUGUUUGACAUGCUUAACUGGAGAUACCUGUCUCCCAAAUACAUCAAGAUGUUUGUUCUGGAUGAAGCUGAUGAAAUGUUCAGCUGUGGAUUCAAGGACCAGAUCUAUGACAUAUUCCAAAAGCUCAACAGCAACACCCAAGUAGUUUUGCUGUCAGCUACAAUGCCUUCUGAUGAGCUUGAGGUAACCAAGAAGUUCAUGAGGGACCCCAUCCAGAUUCUUGUCAAGAAGGAAGAGUUGACCCUGGAGGGUAUCCACCAAUUCUACAUCCACGUGGAACGAGAGGAGUGGAAGCUGGACACGCUGUGUGACUUGUAUGAAACCCUGACCAUCACCCAGGCAGUCAUCUUCAUCAACGCCCGAAGGAAGGUAGAUUGGCUUACUGAGAAGAUGCGUGCCCGAGAUUUCCCUGUUUUGCCAUGCAUGGAGAUAUGGACCAAAAAAGAAUGAGAUGUGAUCAUGAGGGAGUUCCAUUCUGGCUCUAGCCGAGUAUUGAUUACCACUGACCUACUGGCCAGAGGCAUUGAUGUGCAGCAGGUUUCUUUAGUCAUCAACUAUGACCUUCCCACCAACAGGGAAAACUAUAUUCACAGAAUUGGUCAUGGUGGACGGUUUGGCCGUAAGGGUGUGGCUGUUAACAUGGUGACAGAAGAAGACAAGAGGACUCCUCGAGACAUGGAGACCUUCUACAACACCUUCAGUGAGGAAUGCCCUCAAUGUUGCUGACCUCAUCUGAGAGAGGCUGUCCUGCUACCUAGCCCCAGCCAGGGUUCAAUCUUGGGGGGCUGAGGAACAGCAGGAGGGGGGAGGGAAGGGAGCAAAGGGAUGGACAUCUUGUCAUUUUUUUUCUUUGAAUAAAUGUCACUUUUUGAGCCAAAGAAGGAACGGUGAACAUUUUAGACACCCUUUUCUUUGUAGUAGGCUCUUGCUCCAGGCGCCGUCUCUGCCCCCCAAAAACACUCAUCCAUUUCUCUAACCUCGUCACCUCCAGAUCUCAGAGGCUGUCCCUGCCCCAGCCAAAUUCCUUUGAAAAUGAUUCAAGGGGCCAUAUAUGUCAACCUCAUUUGCUGGACCAAAUCUGGAGGCAAAACCCCUGAAACCCCCAAGUGAGGUCCAGGGGAUUGUCCCCAGGUGGAGGGAGCAGGGGAGAGAAAAUGGUAGCCAUUUUUACAUUGUUUUAUAUAGUAUUUAUUGAUUCAGGAAACAAACACAAAAUUCUGAAUAAAAUGACUCGGAAACUGCCCAAA